rnacentral:rRNA from 1 species
UACGUAGGUGGCAAGCGUUGUCCGGAAUCAUUGGGCGUAAAGAGCGUGUAGGCGGCCAGAUAAGUCCGCUGUGAAAUCUCGAGGCUCAACUUCGAGCUGUCGGUGGAAACUGUCUGGCUAGAGUCCGGAAGAGGAGAGUGGAAUUCCCGGUGUAGCGGUGAAAUGCGCAGAUAUCGGGAAGAACACCCGUGGCGAAGGCGGCUCUCUGGGACGGUACUGACGCUGAGACGCGAAAGCGUGGGGAGCGAACAGG